GCUUGUCUCAAAGAUUAAGCCAUGCAUGUCCAAGUACACGCCUUCACACGGCGAGACUGCGAAUGGCUCAUUAAAUCAGUUAUGGUUCCUUAGAUCGUACAAUCCUACUUGGAUAACUGUGGCAAUUCUAGAGCUAAUACAUGCAACGAAGCUCCGACCCCGCGAGGGGAAAGAGCGCUUUUGUUAGCCCAGACCAACGCGGUCGCUCUCGGGCGGCCGCAACCAGUGGUGACUCUGGACAACUUUGUGCCGAUCGCACGGCCCUGGUGCCGGCGACGUAUCUUUCAAGUGUCUGCCCUAUCAACUGUCGACUGUGAUAUAGACGCUCACAGUGGUUUUGACGGGUAACGGGGAAUCAGGGUUCGAUUCCGGAGAGGGAGCCUUAAAAACGGCUACCACAUCCAAGGAAGGCAGCAGG
rnacentral:rRNA from 1 species